rnacentral:rRNA from 1 species
CUACGUGCCAGCAGCCGCGGUAAUACGGAGGAUGCGAGCGUUAUCCGGAUUUAUUGGGUUUAAAGGGUGCGUAGGCGGCCUGUUAAGUCAGCGGUGAAAUCUAGGAGCUUAACUCCUAAAUUGCCAUUGAUACUGGCGGGCUUGAGUGUAGAUGAGGUAGGCGGAAUGCGUGGUGUAGCGGUGGAAUGCAUAGAUAUCACGCAGAACUCCGAUUGCGAAGGCAGCUUACUAAGGUACAACUGACGCUGAAGCACGAAAGCGUGGGUAUCAAACAGGAUUAGAUACCCUGGUAGUCCACGCAGUAAACGAUGAUAACUGGGCGUAUGCGAUAUACAGUAUGCUCCCAAGCGAAAGCGUUAAGUUAUCCACCUGGGGAGUACGCCGGCAACGGUGAAACUCAAAGGAAUUGACGGGGGCCCGCACAAGCGGAGGAACAUGUGGUUUAAUUCGAUGAUACGCGAGGAACCUUACCCGGGAUUGAA